UACAGAGGUGGCAAGCGUUGUUCGGAAUUACUGGGCGUAAAGGGCGCGUAGGCGGCCAUCUAAGUCAGACGUGAAAUCCCCCGGCUUAACCUGGGAACUGCGUCUGAUACUGGAAGGCUUGAGUAUGGGAGAGGGAUGUAGAAUUCCAGGUGUAGCGGUGGAAUGCGCAGAUACCAGGAGGAACACCAAUAGCGAAGGCAGCUCGCUGGGACGGUACUGACGCUGAGGCGCGAAAGCGUGGGGAGCGAACAGG
rnacentral:rRNA from 1 species